AACGAACGCUGGCGGCAGGCUUAACACAUGCAAGUCGAGCGCCCCGCAAGGGGAGCGGCAGACGGGUGAGUAACGCGUGGGAAUCUACCCAUCCCUACGGAACAACUCCGGGAAACUGGAGCUAAUACCGUAUACGUCCUUCGGGAGAAAGAUUUAUCGGGGAUGGAUGAGCCCGCGUCCGAUUAGCUAGUUGGUGGGGUAAUGGCCUACCAAGGCGACGAUCGGUAGCUGGGCUGAGAGGAUGAUCAGCCACACUGGGACUGAGACACGGCCCAGACUCCUACGGGAGGCAGCAGUGGGGAAUAUUGGACAGUGGGCGCAAGCCUGAUCCAGCCAUGCCGCGUGAGUGAUGAAGGCCCUAGGGUUGUAAAGCUCUUUCACCGGUGAAGAUAAUGACGGUAACCGGAGAAGAAGCCCCGGCUAACUUCGUGCCAGCCGCCGCGGUAAAAC
rnacentral:rRNA from 1 species